UGAGGGAUAUUGCACAAUGGGCGCAAGCCUGAUGCAGCGACGCCGCGUGGGUGAAGAAGGUUUUCGGAUCGUAAAACCCUUUUCUGUGUGACGAGCAAGGACGGUAGCACAGGAAUAAGUCUCGGCUAACUACGUGCCAGCAGCCGCGGUAAAACGUAGGAGACAAACGUUAUCCGGAGUUACUGGGCGUAAAGGGCGUGCAGGCGGCAGUCUAAGUCUGGCGUGAAAUUUCCCGGCUUAACCGGGGGAGGUCGUCGGAUACUGGGCAGCUCGAGGGCGGUAGAGGCGUGUGGAAUUCCGGGUGUAGUGGUGAAAUGCGUAGAGAUCCGGAGGAACACCAGUGGCGAAGGCGACACGCUGGGCCGCACCUGACGCUAAGACGCGACAGCAUGGGGAGCAAACAGGAUUAGAUACCCGAGUAGUCCCUGAGCGGGCUGGCAAGGCGCAU
rnacentral:rRNA from 1 species